rnacentral:rRNA from 1 species
AGCAGCCGCGGUAAUUCCAGCUCCAAUAGCGUAUAUUAAAGUUGCUGCAGUUAAAAAGCUCGUAGUUGAAUUUCGGGACCAAUCUGCCGGUCGUGCCUCCGGUAUGCACUGGUUUUAUUGAUUUCUCCCUUCUGACGAAUCAUGAUGUCAUUAAUUUGGUGUCAUGGGGAAUCAGGACUGUUACUUUGAAAAAAUUAGAGUGUUUAAAGCAGGCUCACGCUUGAAUACAUUAGCAUGGAAUAAUGAAAUAGGACGUUUGACCCUAUUUUGUUGGUUUCUAGGAUCGACGUAAUGAUUAAUAGGGAUAGUUGGGGGCAUUAGUAUUCAAUUGUCAGAGGUGAAAUUCUUGGAUUUAUUGAAGACUAACUACUGCGAAAGCAUUUGCCAAGGAUGUUUUCAUUAAUCAAGAACGAAAGUUAGGGGAUCGAAGACGAUCAGAUACCGUCGUAGUCUUAACCAUAAACUAUGCCGACUAGGGAUCGGAUGAUGUUAAUUUUUUAAUGACUCAUUCGGCGCCUUA